rnacentral:rRNA from 1 species
CCUACGGGUGGCAGCAGUGGGGAAUAUUGGACAAUGGGCGAAAGCCUGAUCCAGCCAUGCCGCGUGUGUGAAGAAGGCCUUCGGGUUGUAAAGCACUUUCAGUGGGGAAGAAAGCCUUGGGGCUAAUACCCUCGAGGAAGGACAUCACCCACAGAAGAAGCACCGGCUAACUCCGUGCCAGCAGCCGCGGUAAUACGGAGGGUGCGAGCGUUAAUCGGAAUUACUGGGCGUAAAGCGCGCGUAGGCGGUCUGAUAAGCCGGUUGUGAAAGCCCCGGGCUCAACCUGGGAACGGCAUCCGGAACUGUCAGGCUAGAGUGCAGGAGAGGAAGGUAGAAUUCCCGGUGUAGCAGUGAAAUGCGUAGAGAUCGGGAGGAAUACCAGUGGUGAAGGCGGCCUUCUGGACUGACACUGACGCUGAGGUGCGAAAGCGUGGGUAGCAAACAGGAUUAGAUACCCUUGUAGUC